AUCAACUUUCGAUGGUAGGAUAGAGGCCUACCAUGGUGGUAACGGGUAACGGGGUGUUAGGGCACGACACCGGAGAGGGAGCCUGAGAAACGGCUACCACAUCCAAGGAUGGCAGCAGGCGCGCAAAUUACCCAAUCCCGACACGGGGAGGUAGUGACAAUAAAUAACAAUACGGGGUUCUUUUGGAUUUCGUAAUUGGAAUGAGUACAAUUUAAAUCUCUUAACGAGGAACAAUUGGAGGGCAAGUCUGGUGCCAGCAGCCGCGGUAAUUCCAGCUCCAAUAGCGUAUAUUAAAGUUGUUGCAGUUAAAAAGCUCGUAGUUGAAUUUCGGGGUUAGUAGAUUGGUCAUGCCUUUGGUAUGUACUGGUCUUACUGAUUCCUCCUUCCUGAUGAACCGUAAUGCCAUUAAUUUGGUGUUGCGGGGAGACUGGACUGUUACUUUGAAAAAAUUAGAGUGUUUAAAGCAGGCUAACGCUUGAAUACAUUAGCAUGGAAUAAUGAAAUAGGACGUUCGAUCUUAUUUUGUUGGUUUCUAGGAUUGACGUAAUGAUUAAUAGGGAUAGUUGGGGGCAUUAGUAUUCAAUUGUCAGAGGUGAAAUUCUUGGAUUUAUUGAAGACUAACUACUGCGAAAGCAUUUGCCAAGGAUGUUUUCAUUAAUCAAGAACGAAAGUUAGGGGAUCGAAGACGAUCAGAUACCGUCGUAGUCUUAACCAUAAACUAUGCCGACKAGGGAUCGGAUGAUGUUAAUUUUUUAAUGACUCAUUCGGCGCCUUACGGGAAACCAAAGUGUUUGGGUUC
rnacentral:rRNA from 1 species